UGGGGAAUUGUUCGCAAUGGGCGCAAGCCUGACGACGCAACGCCGCGUGGAGGAUGAAGGUCUUCGGAUUGUAAACUCCUGUUGCCCGGGACGAAAAGCUCUGACCUAACACGUUAGAGUCUGACGGUACCGGGUGAGGAAGCCCCGGCUAACUCUGUGCCAGCAGCCGCGGUAAUACAGAGGGGGCAAGCGUUGUUCGGAUUUAUUGGGCGUAAAGAGCUCGUAGGCGGUUGCGUAAGUCGGAUGUAGAAAACUCAGGGCUCAACCCUGAGACGCCAUCCGAUACUGCGCUGACUUGAAUCCAGUAGGGGAGUGCGGAAUUCCUGGUGUAGCGGUGAAAUGCGCAGAUAUCAGGAGGAACACCCAUGGCGAAGGCAGCACUCUGGGCUGGUAUUGACGCUGAGGAGCGAAAGCAUGGGUAGCGAACAGGAUUAGAUACCCAAGUAGUCCCUGAGCGGGCUGGCAAGGCGCAU
rnacentral:rRNA from 1 species